UUACGGUCACAUCACGUUGAAUCACCGGUUCUCCUGGAAUCACCGAAGUUAAGCAAAGUCGAGCCUGGUCAGUAACUAGAUGGGUGAUCGCGUGUGAAUCCCAGGUGCCGUAAG